AGCGAACGCUGGCGGCAGGCCUAACACAUGCAAGUCGAACGAAACCUUCGGGUUUAGUGGCGGACGGGUGAGUAACACGUGGGAACGUGCCCUUUGGUUCGGAACAACUCAGGGAAACUUGAGCUAAUACCGGAUGUGCCCUUCGGGGGAAAGAUUUAUCGCCAUUGGAGCGGCCCGCGUAGGAUUAGCUAGUUGGUGGGGUAAUGGCCCACCAAGGCUCCGAUCCUUAGCUGGUCUGAGAGGAUGAUCGGCCACACUGGGACUGAGACACGGCCCAGACUCCUACGGGAGGCAGCAGUGGGGAAUCUUGCGCAAUGGGCGAAAGCCUGACGCAGCCAUGCCGCGUGAAUGAUGAAGGUCUUAGGAUUGUAAAAUUCUUUCACCGGGGACGAUAAUGACGGUACCCGGAGAAGAAGCCCCGGCUAACUUUGUGCCAGCCGCCGCAGUAA
rnacentral:rRNA from 1 species